UGGUGGGUAGUUUGACUGGGGCGGUCUCCUCCUAAAGAGUAACGGAGGAGCACGAAGGUUGGCUAAUCCUGGUCGGACAUCAGGAGGUUAGUGCAAUGGCAUAAGCCAGCUUGACUGCGAGCGUGACGGCGCGAGCAGGUGCGAAAGCAGGUCAUAGUGAUCCGGUGGUUCUGAAUGGAAGGGCCAUCGCUCAACGGAUAAAAGGUACUCCGGGGAUAACAGGCUGAUACCGCCCAAGAGUUCAUAUCGACGGCGGUGUUUGGCACCUCGAUGUCGGCUCAUCACAUCCUGGGGCUGAAGUAGGUCCCAAGGGUAUGGCUGUUCGCCAUUUAAAGUGGUACGCGAGCUGGGUUUAGAACGUCGUGAGACAGUUCGGUCCCUAUCUGCCGUGGGCGCUGGAGAACUGAGGGGGGCUGCUCCUAGUACGAGAGGACCGGAGUGGACGCAUCACUGGUGUUCGGGUUGUCAUGCCAAUGGCACUGCCCGGUAGCUAAAUGC
rnacentral:rRNA from 2 species